AAAGAGAAAAUGAUUAGUUCAACGACAUGAGUUUGACGGUCGAUUGAACUUAAUUUGGAUUACACCUAUAAUUUUAAGGGGUUAAUCCAAUUAGAUUUAACUAAAUCCUAGUUGCAUGUAUUAGGAUUUAGUUGGGUUUGAAUUGAUUAGACUCUAAUUGUAUGUGUCAAAGUCCAAUCAGAUUUAAGUUCACCAUAAGGUGAGGGAUAGCUAAAUCUACAUGUAU
rnacentral:lncRNA from 1 species